GCGCCCAUAGUACAACGGAUAGUACGCAGGCCUCCGAAGCCUGAGGUCGAGGUUCAAUUCCUCGUGGGCGCACAA
rnacentral:tRNA from 1 species